rnacentral:rRNA from 1 species
AUUGAACGCUGGCGGCAUGCUUUACACAUGCAAGUCGAACGGUAACAGGUCUUCGGCUGCUGACGAGUGGCGAACGGGUGAGUAAUACAUCGGAACGUGCCUAGUAGUGGGGGAUAACUACUCGAAAGAGUAGCUAAUACCACAUGAGAUCUACGUAUGAAAGCAGGGGACCUUCGGGCCUUGUGCUACUAGAGCGGCUGAUGGCAGAUUAGGUAGUUGGUGGGGUAAAGGCUUACCAAGCCUGCGAUCUGUAGCUGGUCUGAGAGGACGACCAGCCACACUGGGACUGAGACACGGCCCAGACUCCUACGGGAGGCAGCAGUGGGGAAUUUUGGACAAUGGGCGAAAGCCUGAUCCAGCAAUGCCGCGUGCAGGAUGAAGGCCCUCGGGUUGUAAACUGCUUUUGUACGGAACGAAAAGCCUGGGGCUAAUAUCCCCGGGUCAUGACGGUACCGUAAGAAUAAGCACCGGCUAACUACGUG